AUGAAAGCAUAGAAACUAAUAUAUCAUUUAUAAUAAAUGUAAAACAAAAAGAAAAACAUGCGUUAACAGAUUAGUCCAUCUGCAAGAAACGUUUAUAGACAAUUACAUAUUAUAUUUCAAUAGGAAGAUUACAUUUCCAGAUUAGAAAACAGAAGGAGUAAUUUGAAGCCAUUUUGGUAUUCAAUCAAGUAGCUAAUCGAAGUCCAAAUCAUCCAUGAAACGACUGAAACAUAAAUAGGUGGACAUGAAGAUCUACCAAAUUGCGAAAACCCAAACCUAUUAAAACUAAAAUCUUAAACCUUAACACAGAAAUUAAUUAUAAAAAAAAUCAGAAGAACAUGAGAG
rnacentral:lncRNA from 1 species